AUGAGUUCACAUGUGCGGACACAUAUAUACGCAGAUGGGAGAGCGAGAGAGAUGGAUUACGCUUACGCAGCUCCUGAAAGGCAAAUGGGUUGCUCUCCCUUGGGCAGGAUGAUAUCUAAAGUCAUCAAGAAAUGCAACGGCGGAGAGGACGGACGAGGCACGAGCAUCUGGACUACGCCAUGGCGCACCCUCACGCUCAAACACACUACGUGCGGCCAGACGCACGCACGGUCACCUACACCACCACCAGCAACCCUCCCAGCUCCCACGCGAUGCCGGCGCAGCAACCGCCAGUCCACGGCCCGUACGGCCCUGCCGCCGGCGCGCCGCCUCGAGCAGACGGCAAGCCACGCAAGCGCAAGAAGUCCAAGUCCAAGUCCAAGCACGUCCGGUUCAACACGCCGGGGCCGGGGCCGGGGCCACCGCCGAGCGCUGCCGAUGCGUACCAGCAUCAGCAUGCACCGCCGGCGGCAGGAACGAGCGGUGACGCGGCGUACGGCGACCAGCACCAGCACCACGCGGCCGCCUCCCACGCCUACGCCCCAGCGCCGCAGGGGCACGGGCACGGGUACGGAUACGGCAGGUACGCGCCGUCGCCGCUGA
rnacentral:rRNA from 1 species